UACGUAGGGGGCAAGCGUUAUCCGGAAUCAUUGGGCGUAAAGCGCGUGUAGGCGGUUCAGUAAGUCCGCUCUGAAAGCCCAGGGCUCAACCCUGGGAGGCGGGUGGAUACUACUGGACUAGAGUACGGAAGAGGAGAUUGGAAUCCUGGUGUAGCGGUGAAAUGCGCAGAUAUCAGGGAGGAACACCCAACAGCGAAGGCAGAUCUCUGGGACGUAACUGACGCUGGAGACGCGAAAGCGUGGGGAGCGAACAGG
rnacentral:rRNA from 1 species